CCCGGUGGCUCAGACGGUAACGCAUCUGCCUGCAAUGCAGGAGACCCGGGUUCGAUUCCUGGGUCGGGA
rnacentral:tRNA from 1 species